CAGCCAAUCCGUCCACAGCCUCCCCUUAAGAGAGGAAAAAGGGCGCGGGGGGGCGGGGGGCUGUUGAGGGGAGAGAUGGAGUCAGAGGCCUGACAUGCCAGAUAGGUUCCAUGAUGUCUCUAGAUGAACCUCUCUCCUAUUGACGGUGAAACCAAUUCCAGCAAUUUCAGCAGGUCGGCCCUGUGACAACAGGGGCAUCCAGCGCUCAGUAUUUAAAACAAAAAUCCAAAGGCUCGCCCAGAACCUGCUGGGAAAACCCGGGGACUGAAUAAAACGAGCCACGCUCAGUGGGAUCCCUUCUGCUUUUAUGUAGCAAUGUAAUAGCGUAAUAAAUUCUUGUCUGCCUGGAGAAAGCAUGCACUGGUGAAUUUCAAAGCCAUCUUACAACAGCGGAGGCAUGGGGAUGCAGAAUUCGACCGCACAUUCCCCCCCAUGAAGGAAACAUAAUGACUUCAAGCCUCUUUCCCUCUAUCUUGAAUGGCGCUACCGCGUAUCUAGGAAGCCACGUCGAAAAGCAGCGAGGCCAAGAGGGGACUAAGAGGAGCAGAAUCACCUUGGGGAUGAAAGCAGCAAAGGCAGACACUAUGGGGGAAGCAUCUGGACACUGACCGUUCUCUGUGACAAUGACAUCAGUGUGGGAGCUGCCAUACUUGUGGAUGUGGUCAAUAGCAUCCUGAACGUUGUCCACUACUUCAAUGCAUAAUUCCAGGUCCCCAUACUCAGUUCGGAGUGACUUUACUUCGGAGGGGCUGAAGGUCAGAUAGGAGGCAAAUUUGGGGCCUGCG